UAGAGUUUGAUCCUGGCUCAGAACGAACGCUGGCGGCAGGCUUAACACAUGCAAGUCGAGCGCCCCGCAAGGGGAGCGGCAGACGGGUGAGUAACGCGUGGGAAUCUACCCAUCACUACGGAACAACUCCGGGAAACUGGAGCUAAUACCGUAUACGUCCUUCGGGAGAAAGAUUUAUCGGUGAUGGAUGAGCCCGCGUUGGAUUAGCUAGUUGGUGGGGUAAUGGCCUACCAAGGCGACGAUCCAUAGCUGGUCUGAGAGGAUGAUCAGCCACACUGGGACUGAGACACGGCCCAGACUCCUACGGGAGGCAGCAGUGGGGAAUAUUGGACAAUGGGCGCAAGCCUGAUCCAGCCAUGCCGCGUGAGUGAUGAAGGCCCUAGGGUUGUAAAGCUCUUUCAACGGUGAAGAUAAUGACGGUAACCGUAGAAGAAGCCCCGGCUAACUUCGUGCCAGCAGCCCCGGUCAA
rnacentral:rRNA from 1 species